rnacentral:rRNA from 1 species
UACAGAGGGUGCGAGCGUUAAUCGGAAUUACUGGGCGUAAAGCGUGCGUAGACGGUUAUUUAAGUCGGAUGUGAAAGCCCUGGGCUUAACCUGGGAACUGCAUUCGAUACUGGAUAGCUAGAGUUCGGUAGAGGGCGGCGGAAUUCCGGGUGUAGCGGUGAAAUGCGUAGAUAUCCGGAGGAACACCGAUGGCGAAGGCAACCGCCUGGGCCUGAACUGACACUGAGGCACGAAGGCGUGGGGAGCAAACAGG